GUGGGUUUACUUUUUCUGAAACCGCAAAAAAAAUCGACCUUAGGUUUAGGUUUCAGAAAAUCCAUCUCUAAACUUUCCUCUUCCUGAUCCCGCAACAAUUCGUCUCAGCCAAUUCAUCUCUAAAUUUAUCAGACAAUUCGUCUCAGCCGCGGUAUUGAUUCAAGUUCAAGUUUAAUUCUCAGCUGCGGUAUACCCUCUCCCAAGGCGUUGAAGACGGAAUUUUUUCCGGCAGUGGUGAAAUUGGCAGUGUCAAAUUCUGGCGCGGGUGGUGGUGAGGUCCUUUGGUCCCAGUGUUGUGUGCUUCUUUACUCCCAAUUUUGUUUUAUGAGAGAAUGUUAGAAUUGCCAGUGUCUCAGCCUCACAGGGUCUGAAAUUAUAUCAAUAGACCUUAGUGACAAUCACAUUGGGGAUACAAGUCUUGCCAGUUUACCUCCCACGGUAAUCAGUUUACUGGUGGUAUUCCUGACUUGUCUGUAUUUAGUCAACUGGUGUUUUGUGAUUUUACAACUCUGUGAACUUAGCAUCAAUUGGUUGAAUGUGGGAUUUAGCUAUUUGACGGUGUUCGUGCGUGUUUUGUAGUAAUAUGGAGUUUUCGAUUGUGGUUUAAAGAGCUUUGGGAGUGAUUUCUGGUAUGACAGGAGCCGGUGGAAACAUGGGUGCGGUCUUAAAUCAACUGAUAUUCUUCAAAGGAUCUCAAUACACAAAAGAGAGGGGAAUAACUUAUAUGUGUAUAAUGAUUGUAGCAUGUACUCUACCCAUAGCUUCCAUAUACUUCCCACAGCGGGGAGGAUCUCAUACUGUUGUCGCUGCUAUUUGCUGCUGUCACUGCUAGAUGUUGAUGUUAAUGUCUGCUGCUGAUUUAGUCUGCUGUUGUUACUGUCUGCUGCUGUUACGGUUGAUGUACUGUUGUCACUGUUGUCACUGCUGCAUGCUAUCUGCUGUUGUUGUUAUUGUUAUUGUUGU